rnacentral:rRNA from 1 species
CACGUAGGGUGCGAGCGUUGUCCGGAAUUAUUGGGCGUAAAGAGCUCGUAGGCGGUGUGUCGCGUCGGCCGUGAAAACCUGCAGCUUAACUGUGGGCUUGCGGUCGAUACGGGCAUCACUUGAGUUCGGCAGGGGAGACUGGAAUUCCUGGUGUAGCGGUGAAAUGCGCAGAUAUCAGGAGGAACACCGGUGGCGAAGGCGGGUCUCUGGGCCGAUACUGACGCUGAGGAGCGAAAGCGUGGGGAGGCGAACAGG